rnacentral:rRNA from 1 species
GCCUUCAUGAAGCUGGAAUUGCUAGUAAUGGCAGGUCAGCAUACUGCCGUGAAUACGUUCCCGGGCCUUGUACACACCGCCCGUCACACCAUGAGAGUUGGAAAUACCCGAAGCCCGUGAGCUAACUUUUAGAGGCAGCAGUCGAAGGUAGAGCCAAUGAUUGGGGUGAAGUCGUAACAAGGUAGC